GGGCAGUUGGCGCAGUGGUAGCGCGCCUCAUUUGCACCCCCUUCGGUUAGACGCCUUAGGGAUCGAACCUCGGAUCGAUUGAGUUGAGGAGGGCGUGGGUUCAAUCCCCACACUGUCCA